ensembl:miRNA Mir5124a microRNA 5124a
UAGAAAGGUGGGUCCAGUGACUAAGAGCAUUUGAGCACUUGUUCUUGCAGAGGACCCAAGUUCAAUUUCUAG